GGGAGAGAAAUGCUGCCAGUUGCCAUGAUGAGUAGCAAGAUGUAAGUUACUGCUGAGAAAACUUCAUCAAGUCACAAGACUGGGAGGAGAAACUGUGCGUAAAGGAAUUCACAGAAAUCCGGGCAAGAUUCCCAAAGUAAAUGAUGUUGAUUCUCGGCACAAAGGAGGGCUUUGCUGCUGAUGGUUGAACUCACAGAAACAGUCAUUGCCUGUUUGUGACAGACUUGCUAUUUUUGAAUUUUUCUAAUUUCAGAAAAGUGACCAUAGUAAGUGUUAUUUAAACACUGAGAGCCCUUGGAAAUGUCUAAACACUGUACCCAGCGCCUGAGGGGCACAAGAGGGUCCUUGUCCUAGGAGACUGGUCUACACAGCCUUGUAUGUGGGAGUGGUGCCAAGUGGACCUUCAGUUAGCCCUACGUGGCUGUUGGAUCCCAGCUCCUUCCUGGUAUGAAGCAGGCCAAAGGGACCCCUAAUGUCUCCGGAGAAGAGCAACUCUUUAGCCAGUGUGAAUCUCAUUCAUUUACUCUCCAAGCCCUCACCUCUCAGCUUUCCCAGCUGAGUGGCUCUCAAGUUUUGGGGCACCCACAUGAUCUGGAACUAUAUAAAGAUGCACAUUCCCAAGCUCUCCCUGAGAAGAGUUCCUUUCUACCGGUCCAGGGACAGUUUUCAGCAGCUUCCUUUUGAUGACAACCAGGUGAUUCCUUGGUACCAGGUUGAUUUCACAUCUGUUGAUUUGUUUGGAUAUUUAUUUAUUUAUUGCUUUGUUCUGUUUUGUUUAUACUCAGCUGGCCUCAAACUCUCAGAAGUCCUCCAGUCUCACACUCUCAAGUGCUGGGAUUAUGAACUUGGGUCACCAUGCCCAGUUUAUAGAACUCUUAAGCUGUGACUUAUAUUUGGGUAUGGUGGCAAACACUUAGGAGGUGGAGAUGACUACAUAAUGAAAUCCAGUCACAAAACACAGAGGGAGCUGGGUAAUCUCAGGUCUUCCCUGAAGCACAGAACCGGAGAGAAGCCCCUGCCUGAUCCUACCUUGAAGCAGAUGGGAUCUUGGUCCAAGCAUCUACAUCAACAACACCAUCUGGAAGAAGAGUUUAUUUUAUUUUGCCCCAAAGCAUUUCUCAAAAGCUCUAUCACCUCCAGCUGA